rnacentral:misc_RNA from 1 species
CUUUAUAGUCCAUAAUUUUUGGAAAAGCGGUUUUAAUGUUUAAUGUUCGAGUAGUAUUGACAUUAAAGUACGAUGUAAUAGUAAAAAAAUUUAUCGAACAUUAAUUCUGCUACAUAUUACGUACGUCACUGUGUAACGUUGUAUCUCGUGAUACAAAGCUUUCUAAAGCUUCUUAUAAAUGUCACAAGAAGGCGUUGAAUACUGCUUUUAAUCAUAACAUUCCUAUUAAUACAUAUAGUUUAGCAACAUUUAUCUGUUGUUAAUACAAACUGAAUUAAAUAUCCACAAACGACUGUCAUAUUACA